rnacentral:piRNA from 1 species
UCACUAACUCAAUUCAGUUUUCUGCCUA